UGGGGAAUAUUGCACAAUGGGGGGAACCCUGAUGCAGCGAUGCCGCGUGGAGGAAGAAGGUUUUCGGAUUGUAAACUCCUGUCGACAGGAAAGAAAAAGGACUGUACCUGUCAAGAAAGCUCCGGCUAACUACGUGCCAGCAGCCGCGGUAAUACGUAGGGAGCGAGCGUUGUCCGGAAUUACUGGGUGUAAAGGGAGCGUAGGCGGGAUUGCAAGUCAGAUGUGAAAUACGCAGGCUUAACCUGUGGGCUGCAUUUGAAACUGUAGUUCUUGAGUGAAGUAGAGGCAAGCGGAAUUCCUGGUGUAGCGGUGAAAUGCGUAGAUAUCAGGAGGAACACCGGUGGCGAAGGCGGCUUGCUGGGCUUUAACUGACGCUGAGGCUCGAAAGCGUGGGUAGCAAACAGG
rnacentral:rRNA from 1 species